rnacentral:rRNA from 1 species
UACGUAGGGUGCAAGCGUUAAUCGGAAUUACUGGGCGUAAAGCGUGCGCAGGCGGCUAUGCAAGACAGAUGUGAAAUCCCCGGGCUCAACCUGGGAACUGCAUUUGUGACUGCAUAGCUAGAGUACGGUAGAGGGGGAUGGAAUUCCGCGUGUAGCAGUGAAAAUUCGUAGAUAGUCGGGAGGAACACCGGUGGCGAAGGCGGCGAUCUGGGUCGAGUACUGAACGCGUGAGGUGCGAAAGCGUGGGAGCAAACAGG